AUCGGCUCUGUGCAAUCGAACAAAAACUCACAAACAUGUCUUUUCCUCUUCCUCACCUUCGCCAGUUUUCUACGUUUCUCCAGUCAAUCUAAGCCAUAAAUUGUAUUGCUUUUAACUAUUAGGAUCUCUACUUACAUAAACGUUUGACGUCCUUCAUUAUCCACUCCACCUCUCUCCUUAAUUGUGUGUAGUAAGAAAAUCAAUCUGAUGCGGAGAGACAGCCAUUGAUGUGAGCCACCUCAAAAUCUCAGAUCAAGUACUGAUAUGGAUCAGAAUACUCUUAACUCCAUGCUUUGUUUGAUUGCUUCCUAACGGAUCAAAUCUGAAGAAUUUCGAGGUAUUUCAAGAGAACCAUGUCAGUCGGCUUCCUUAGUAUCUCGGAUCCUUCUUCUUCCCUGGAAAAUUGAAGCCUUUUGAAAUGUUUGAAAAAUCUUCUUAAUCAUCGAAAUUUUUGAGAAGCUACGAAAACGGCGGAGGUUAGGUCCGACAAACUGCAUUUCCGUAGAGUUAAGGAAGAUGAUGAUGAAGUCUUUGUGUUCCGGUGAACAAAUAAGACUUUAAGAUGAAGAAGACAACGAAUCCUAGGUUGGUGUAAGCAGAGGCUACAAUGAUAGCACUUUUGAGAAGAAUUGAGUAUCUGAAAGGAAAACAUAGAAUGCGGUAUGAAUGCAGGCUUGCUCCUCCUCCAUGGACUAACUUGCUGCGUUAUUUUGCUUUUAUGAAAAUCUCUCCAACGUCUUAGAAGGUUCCAAGGUGAUACAUAGGUGCAGGAGACGCUAACCAAAGUAGUUGAGCUCCUUCCCUAAAUGUGGAUACUGCUGAUUCGUCGCGUGAUACUACUUUGUCUUAUAGACGACCGCUUCUCAAACACAGGAAGCUUGAAUGUUGAUGAUUUGAGGGUGGCUUGAGUGUUAUGGUGAUAUGAUAUAUAUAUAUAUAAAUUUACAAUAUUUGCUGACUGAUUAAGCGUUUGUAAACUCUUUAGCAGGGAAAAGAUGAUGAGCCCAAAGACAAUAUGCCUGGAGCCAGCUAACUUUCCUCAGCUUCUUCUAAGCUAGGCAACAACAAUGUGAAGGACACACCGAGAGUUACAGAAUCUGCACUGGGGAACCUGCCUGAGGUGGAUGGCUUCAUAUCCGAGAAUCCAAAGCUCAAGACAAUUGAGCCUGCUGCUAAGAAGGCCCGUACGGGUAUAUGAAUAUGGAAGCCUUUUCUAUGACGUUGUUGUCGAUUAUUUAAUCAAAUAAUGCUUUGGUGUUUUGCCAUUCUAAAACUCUUACGUAUGCUGGUUGAGUUCUUUGCACUAAUAAUAGAAGAAUAAUUAAUAAUCUGUAUUUGUAAGAACUGUUUUGGUUUUGCUCUCUUUAAAGUGGAGAACAAACGUAGAACCCAAAAAGUAUCCAUUUCAUAACUUUUUUUAA